rnacentral:rRNA from 1 species
GACGAACGCUUGCGGCGUGCUUAACACAUGCAAGUCGAACGGAAAGGCCCUGCUUUUGUGGGGUGCUCGAGUGGCGAACGGGUGAGUAACACGUGAGUAACCUGCCCUUGACUUUGGGAUAACUUCAGGAAACUGGGGCUAAUACCGGAUAGGAGCUCCUGCUGCAUGGUGGGGGUUGGAAAGUUUCGGCGGUUGGGGAUGGACUCGCGGCUUAUCAGCUUGUUGGUGGGGUAGUGGCUUACCAAGGCUUUGACGGGUAGCCGGCCUGAGAGGGUGACCGGCCACAUUGGGACUGAGAUACGGCCCAGACUCCUACGGGAGGCAGCAGUGGGGAAUAUUGCACGAUGGGCGGAAGCCUGAUGCAGCAACGCCGCGUGCGGGAUGACGGCCUUCGGGUUGUAAACCGCUUUCGCCUGUGACGAAGCGUGAGUGACGGUAAUGGGUAAAGAAGCACCGGCUAACUACGUGCCAGCAGCCGCGGUGAUACGUAGGGUGCGAGCGUUGUCCGGAUUUAUUGGGCGUAAAGGGCUCGUAGGUGGUUGAUCGCGUCGGAAGUGUAAUCUUGGGGCUUAACCCUGAGCGUGCUUUCGAUACGGGUUGACUUGAGGAAGGUAGGGGAGAAUGGAAUUCCUGGUGGAGCGGUGGAAUGCGCAGAUAUCAGGAGGAACACCAGUGGCGAAGGCGGUUCUCUGGGCCUUUCCUGACGCUGAGGAGCGAAAGCGUGGGGAGCGAACAGGCUUAGAUACCCUGGUAGUCCACGCUGUAAACGGUGGGUACUAGGUGUGGGGUCCAUUCCACGGGUUCCGUGCCGUAGCUAACGCUUUAAGUACCCCGCCUGGGGAGUACGGCCGCAAGGCUAAAACUCAAAGGAAUUGACGGGGCCCCGCACAAGCGGCGGAGCAUGCGGAUUAAUUCGAUGCAACGCGUAGAACCUUACCUGGGUUUGACAUGGAUCGGGAGUGCUCAGAGAUGGGUGUGCCUCUUUUGGGGUCGGUUCACAGGUGGUGCAUGGCUGUCGUCAGCUCGUGUCGUGAGAUGUUGGGUUAAGUCCCGCAACGAGCGCAACCCUUGUUCACUGUUGCCAGCACGUUAUGGUGGGGACUCAGUGGAGACCGCCAGGGUCAACUCGGAGGAAGGUGGGGAUGACGUCAAGUCAUCAUGCCCCUUAUGUCCAGGGCUUCACGCAUGCUACAAUGGCUGGUACAGAGAGUGGCGAGCCUGUGAGGGUGAGCGAAUCUCGGAAAGCCGGUCUCAGUUCGGAUUGGGGUCUGCAACUCGACCUCAUGAAGUCGGAGUCGCUAGUAAUCGCAGAUCAGCAACGCUGCGGUGAAUACGUUCCCGGGGCU